rnacentral:rRNA from 1 species
GACGAACGCUGGCGGCGUGCUUAACACAUGCAAGUCGAACGGAGCGAAUGAAAGCUUGCUUUUAUGAGCUUAGUGGCAAACGGGUGAGUAACACGUAGGCAACCUGCCAAUAGGAUGGGGACAACAUUCCGAAAGGAAUGCUAAUACCGAAUGAAGUCAGAGGAGGGCAUCCUCUUCUGAUGAAAGAUGGCCUCUGAAUAUGCUAUCACCUAUUGAUGGGCCUGCGUCUGAUUAGCUGGUAGGUGAGGUAACGGCUCACCUAGGCGACGAUCAGUAGCCGGUCUGAGAGGAUGAACGGCCACAUUGGGACUGAGACACGGCCCAGACUCCUACGGGAGGCAGCAGUGGGGAAUCUUCCGCAAUGGGCGCAAGCCUGACGGAGCAACGCCGCGUGAGUGAAGAAGGUCUUCGGAUCGUAAAGCUCUGUUGAUGGGGACGAACGUGCCUAAUGCGAAUAGUUUUAGGCAAUGACG